GGAGAGGUGGCCGAGCGGUUGAAGGCACCGGUCUUGAAAACCGGCAAACCGAAAGGUUUCGCG
rnacentral:tRNA from 1 species